CCAAUUUGUUUUUCCGCAGGGAGGUCACUCUCCCCAGGGCUCUGUCCAAGGUGGCAUAGAGGAGCACAGGGCUCUGCCCUGGUGAUGUGCAGUCUCUUCCCCGUGAUGUGAGAGAUAAAGCAUGUGUCUACACUUGCAUCUUUUUGUAGUUUCCCCAAGGUCCUGUGGACAAUGACUAGGGAGUCAAAUCAUGAGGGAAAUGACU
rnacentral:snoRNA from 1 species